rnacentral:miRNA from 1 species
CUGGGCUCCCGGACGAGGCGGG